GCCCUGGUAACUCAGCGCGGAUAGAGUUUCCGCCUCCUACGCGGAAUGUCGCCGGUUCAAAUCCGGCCCAGGGCGCCA
rnacentral:tRNA from 1 species